AUUGAACGCUGGCGGCAGGCCUAACACAUGCAAGUCGAGCGGAUGAAGGGAGCUUGCUCCUGGAUUCAGCGGCGGACGGGUGAGUAAUGCCUAGGAAUCUGCCUGGUCGUGGGGGAUAACGUCCGGAAACGGGCGCUAAUACCGCAUACGUCCUGAGGGAGAAAGUGGGGGAUCUUAGGACCUCACGCUAUCAGAUGAGCCUAGGUCGGAUUAGCUAGUUGGUGGGGUAAAGGCCUACCAAGGCGACGAUCCGUAACUGGUCUGAGAGGAUGAUCAGUCACACUGGAACUGAGACACGGUCCAGACUCCUACGGGAGGCAGCAGUGGGGAAUAUUGGACGAUGGGCGAAAGCCUGAUCCAGCCAUGCCGCGUGUGUGAAGAAGGUCUUCGGAUUGUAAAGCACUUUAAGUUGGGAGGAAGGGCAGUAAGUUAAUACCUUGCUGUUUUGACGUUACCAACAGAAUAAGCACCGGCUAACUUCGUG
rnacentral:rRNA from 1 species